CGAAAGGUCACGGCCUGGCUGCAGGUGAAUUCCAGACUGGCUGUCCAUCUGCGAGCUCGCGGGCCCGUGGGAGGCGGGCUCGGGGUUCUCAGCACACGAAACACGGAACCCACACCGCCUCUCGGUACCAUGUAUAGCUCUCGAUGUGCAUCCUAAGAUCACUGGUUCUUUUGGAAGAAAACAUGAUUAACAAGAGAACACGGAUAAUUCUCACAAAUCACAUUAAGAAAAGGAAAGUGGAUACAAAAGAAGCCACAUUAUCCAAUCCCAUCAUGAAGAACGGAUGCCGUGGGAAAACCUAAAGGUGGUUUCCUGUGGGCGCUGAGGAGGGAGUAUGAACAGCAUGAGGAAACCCUCUGGGGUCUUGGGAGUAGUUUAUGCCUGGAUAAUUUAACUGAAUGCUUUUAUCACUUUAUUGUUCGGAACCAUAAAAUUAAACUUACCGGAUGACAAAACACAGGGCAAACUUACUUGUUAUGUGAAGGGAAUUAGCUGACCUGUCUCAGAGUUCAUUAAAGUGAAAUAUAGCAGAAAGCAUCUCUAAGCUCUGUAUGAGUGAACUUCCUAAAAAAACAUACUUGUGGAGCAGAAGCAAAUAUAUUUGAAGAGUUAUACAAGAAGUUUAU
rnacentral:lncRNA from 1 species